rnacentral:rRNA from 1 species
UACAGAGGGUGCAAGCGUUAAUCGGAAUUACUGGGCGUAAAGCGUGCGCAGACGGUUGCGUAAGUCAGAUGUGAAAGCCCCCGGCUCAACUGGGGAGGGUCACGCGAUACUGAUCGACUCGAAGGCAGGAGAGGGAAGUGGAAUUCCCGGUGUAGUGGUGAAAUGCGUAGAUAUCGGGAGGAACACCAGUGGCGAAGGCGACUUCCUGGCCUGUUCUUGACGCUGAGGCGCGAAAGCUAGGGGAGCAAACGGG